UAUGAUUUCUUGUUAAGAUGCCUU
rnacentral:siRNA from 1 species